rnacentral:rRNA from 1 species
UACGGGGGGAGCAAGCGUUGUUCGGAUUUACUGGGCGUAAAGGGCGCGUAGGCGGCCACCGCAAGUCGACUGUGAAAUCUCCGGGCUUAACCCGGAAAGGUCAGCCGAUACUGCGGGGCUAGAGUGCAGAAGGGGCAACUGGAGUUCUCGGUGUAGCGGUGAAAUGCGUAGAUAUCGAGAGGAACACCUGCGGCGAAGGCGGGUUGCUGGGCUGACACUGACGCUGAGGCGCGAAAGCUAGGGGAGCGAACGGG